rnacentral:misc_RNA from 1 species
GAUGAAGAACGCAGCGAAAUGCGAUACGUAAUGUGAAUUGCAAAUUCAGUGAAUCAUCGAGUCUUUGAACGCACAUUACGCCCCCUGGUAUUCCGGGGGGCAUGCCUGUCCGAGCGUCAUUGCUGCCCUCAAGCACGGCUUGUGUGUUGGGCCCCGUCCUCCGAUCCCGGGGGACGGGCCCGAAAGGCAGCGGCGGCACCGCGUCCGGUCCUCGAGCGUAUGGGGCUUUGUCACCCGCUCUGUAGGCCCGGCCGGCGCUUGCCGAUCAACCCAAAUUUUUAUCCAGGUUGACCUCGGAUCAGGUAGGGAUACCCGCUGAACUUAAGCAUAUCAAUAAGCGGAGGA